rnacentral:misc_RNA from 1 species
GAUGAAGAACGUAGCGAAAUGCGAUAAGUAAUGUGAAUUGCAGAAUUCAGUGAAUCAUCGAAUCUUUGAACGCACAUUGCGCCCGCCAGUAUUCUGGCGGGCAUGCUUGUUCGAGCGUCAUUACAACCCUCAGGCCCCCGGGCCUGGCGUUGGGGAUCGGCGGAAGCCCCCUGCGGGCACAACGCCGUCCCCCAAAUACAGUGGCGGUCCCGCCGCAGCUUCCAUUGCGUAGUAGCUAACACCUCGCAACUGGAGAGCGGCGCGGCCACGCCGUAAAACACCCAACUUCUGAAUGUUGACCUCGAAUCAGGUAGGAAUACCCGCUGAACUUAAGCAUAUCAAUAAGCGGAGGA